GACGAACGCUGGCGGUGUGCUUAACACAUGCAAGUGGUGCGACGAACCAGAGCUUGCUCUGGGGCAAAGCCGCGAACGGGUGAGUAACACGUGGGUAAUCUACCCCGAUGACCGGGACAACCCGAGGAAACUCGGGCUAAUACCGGAUGUGGUGCGGAGACAUAAGUCUCUUCACUAAAGGUAGCUUCGGCUUCCGCAUUGGGAGGGGCCCGCGGCCCAUUAGCUUGUUGGUGGGGUCAAGGCCUACCAAGGCAACGAUGGGUAGCUGGUCUGAGAGGACGAUCAGCCACACUGGGACUGAGACACGGCCCAGACUCCUACGGGAGGCAGCAGUGGGGAAUCUUGCGCAAUGCGCGAAAGCGUGACGCAGCAACACCGCGUGAGGGAAGAAGGCCUUAGGGUUGUAAACCUCUUUCAGAUGGGACGAAGGUUCUCCGGUGAAUAGCCGAGAGGAUUGACGGUACCGUCAGAAGAAGCUCCGGCUAACUACGCG
rnacentral:rRNA from 1 species